rnacentral:piRNA from 1 species
UGCUGUUUCAGAAAGGCAAACAAGCA